GCACUGAAAGCUGCAAAAAAGCAGAUAGUUCCUGUCUUGAAAAAGGAACACGUGAAUGUCACAAAAACAGUGCCUGUAACUCCAAAAGAGAAAGUCAAACCAACACCAAC